CACGUAGGCACCAAGCGUUGUCCGGAUUUAUUGGGCGUAAAGAGCUCGUAGGCGGUUCAGUAAGUCGGGUGUGAAAACUCUGGGCUCAACCCAGAGACGCCACCCGAUACUGCUGUGACUUGAGUACGGUAGGGGAGUGGAGAAUUCCUGGUGUAGUGGUGAAAUGCGCAGAUAUCGGGAGGAACACCAGUGGCGAAGGCGACUGCCUGGCCCAUUCUUGACGCUGAGGCGCGAAAGCUAGGGGAGCGAACGGG
rnacentral:rRNA from 1 species